rnacentral:rRNA from 1 species
GACGAACGCUGGCGGCGUGCCUAAACAUGCAAGUCGAACGAAGUAUAGUAAUAUACUUAGUGGCGGACGGGUGAGUAACGCGUGAACAAUCUGCCCUGUACAAAGGAAUAGCCUCGGGAAACCGGGAUUAAAACCAUAUGACACUUUAGUACCGCAUGGUAUAGAAGUCAAAUUGAUUUAGAGGUAUGGGAUGAGUUCGCGUCUGAUUAGCUAGUUGGUAAGGUAACGGCUUACCAAGGCGACGAUCAGUAGCCGGCCUGAGAGGGUGAACGGCCACACUGGAACUGAGACACGGUCCAGACUCCUACGGGAGGCAGCAGUGGGGAAUAUUGCACAAUGGAGGAAACUCUGAUGCAGCGACGCCGCGUGAGUGAAGAAGGUCUUCGGAUCGUAAAACUCUGUCCUUGGUGAAGAAAAAGACGGUAGCCAAGGAGGAAGCCCCGGCUAACUACGUG